UACGAAGGGGGCUAGCGUUGCUCGGAAUCAUUGGGCGUAAAGGGUGCGUAGGCGGGUUUUUAAGUCAGAGGUGAAAUCCUGGAGCUCAACUCCAGAACUGCCUUUGAUACUGAAGAUCUUGAGUUCGGGAGAGGUGAGUGGAACUGCGAGUGUAGAGGUGAAAUUCGUAGAUAUUCGCAAGAACACCAGUGGCGAAGGCGGCUCACUGGCCCGAUACUGACGCUGAGGCACGAAAGCGUGGGGAGCAAACAGG
rnacentral:rRNA from 1 species